rnacentral:ncRNA from 2 species
ACAAUCCUUCAGGGCAGGGUGAAAUUCCCUACCGGCGGUGAUGAUUCGCAUGACGCGUAAGGCGGUAUGCGCAAGACAAGUCCGCUACCCGGAUCGCGCUUGUCGCGCGGACGGUGGACCCGGUGAGAUUCCGGGACCGACAGUUACAGUCUGGAUGGAAGAAGGAGAGU